rnacentral:misc_RNA from 1 species
CUCAUCUUCUUUUAAACCUUUCUUCUUCUUUAUCUUGUUUAGCCCACACAAACAUCAUGAUAUUUCCUUUCAUUUUACGUCUAAUAGUGAUAAGAAGAUGGGUGAUUGCAACAUUAAUAACAUAAUUUAAUUGCUAUUAAAUAUUUAUAAAAUCUUUCUCUAAUAUUUUUAAAAUCCAACUCAAGACCUCACAGAUAUAAAAAUGAUUUGAAUGUCUCUAAUUAAAAUUUAUUGGUAUUAUUAAGCUAUUUGAUUUCAAAGAGUGAAUAUAUGGGUAAGAAUAUGGGGACUGAAUUAAUCAGCAGAAAAAUAGUACUAACAAACAAGUGCAUGAAUUCCAAAUUCCAAUCCUCGACAGAAGAUGGAGCAGGCUCCUCGUCAAGCAGAGUUAUGCUUGAGCUCACUCGUUACAGAGUUGACUCAGUUAACCCGAGUCAAAUCGGCCGAAUCAUUGCCCAAGGAAAAAAUUUAUAAGCAAUCUCUCGAGAACAACACUGAUAGGCCUUGUCUUUGGUUUUUAACCAUCAAACCCUGUUUGGCUCCACACUGCAUCGCGCACGCGCCUCAUGUCACGGCCCUUCAGAGUCCUUCCAACUCCCUCGAAGACAGAGGCGCCACCCAUUUUCCUACUGUGAGCGUACUCACGCGCCAGGUACUCGUGUGGGGGGACCAUCUCCGAAUCACGGUCAUCGUAGCCCCCAUCCGAGUCAUGCAAUGACUCAACCGAGUCGACCCUGAGGAUCUGGCUCCAGUCCGGCACGUUCACAGGAGCUGACGUGGCCAUGUGACGAGGAGAUGAUGCUUCUGGUGCCACGCUGUCAUGUCCACGGAACUGGUGCACGAUUCUCGACGAAGCCGUCUUGCCCGAAGAAUCUUCGAAGGCCAAAGAUAACCCUCCCACGUGGUGGUCACCUCGGUCUCGGGGGAUUCGGCGGCGGCUCCUUGUAGACAUAUUCCCAUUACUCUCAACAUCGGCGCGUGAAAUCCAGUCUUCCUGAGAAUUAUUGUUAAUCUGGUCAUUCCGGUGAGCCUCAUCAUCAACCAUCGACCACACAUCUUCCUCGCCUAGCUCCGACAAGUCGUUGACGUUGGUUUCUUGGCCAUUACUGUAAGCAAAGCUUCCCAACAGCCUUUCACUACGACUCGUCGUUAGCCUCCUUCCUUUGGCCAUAAAGCGGCCAAAUUGAUCUGAUAACUCAAAACCCACUUGAAAAUUUUGGCAAAAAGAAAAUGAAUGAGAAGAAGAUAUAGUUAUGAGUCCAUUAGGUUGGCUCUAACAUAGGGUGGCUUUGAAGGAGAAGACAUGUAUAUAUAGCAUUGGCCACUUCACUGAAGAAGAAGAGAAAAGGCUCAGUUUCAUUUCAUGUGAAUUUGGGGCUCAUUUUGUCUGCAUUUCCUCUUCUAUCAAAUAAUGGUUUUUAUGAAUAGUGAAGCCAAGAUGGGCACCAAACUGUUUAAAGAAAACGAAUGACUAGAGCACGUAUUAGAUGGCCUUCACGUGCUCAUGGAUGCGCGUGUUCACCACUUACCAAUCGGUUAAGGAUGAGUGUGCCUAUUUGUCGAGAGGAGCAGUGUCAGGAGGAGAGGAGUGAGCUUGGAAGAAAGUGACUUGCCCAUUUUGGACGAUUGGGC